UAGGCUUGGGGUAUAAAAUAGCUAGAAAGGGAAAUUUUCUGAGUCUCCUCAGCUGUGGUGCAGGUGGGGCACAGAGAACAUAAGUUUAUAGUACACUUAAGUGGACCUGCGUGGGCAGGGGGAGACUGGCAGCAGGUGCUUCAUGUUUUUCCCUAAUUUGUGUUACCAUUCUCAGACGGUCUACACUAAACUGAGCCAGAUAACUGUUCAUUGGGACUUAAUGCCACUGAGACCUGGGUUUGAAUCUGGGCCAAAGCACCUGUCUGUUAAUGGAGGCUUGCAUGUUGCUAUGAUGCUGAAGAGAUUUCAGUGGAGCUUCCAGCCAAAGAUAGACUAGGAAGAAAGACCUGGAGAUCUAUUUCAGAAAAAUAAGCCAAUGAACACCCAGUGGAUCACAAUGACUGAAAUAUGACAAACCAGUUUCUAAUCAAGAAGAGCGAUUUCCACUACAAUUCUACAAGUGCCACAUCCACCUGCAUAAAAUAUUUGGGAGAGCACGCAUGUAUUUGAAUAUAGUUUUAUAUGUCCGUAACUGUGCAAUCUGAACUCUUCCAGUUUUAAAGUUAAGAUUUUAUUACUUCUAUCUUAAUUUGAUUCUUAUUUUUCACUCUUUCCAAUAUCUAAGCAAUAUUUUCUAUGAGAAAGAGUAAAAUGUUCAGGAAUGAUCAUGAUGAAGACAAUCACAGAUUUUUUGAUGAAAGUAUAAUAGCCAAAAAUUCAUUACCCUCAGUUUUUUUGACUUAAUACAAGUGUUUCUAUCCCACUAAAGGAGAGUUCCUUUGUUAAGGGUUUAGGAGGGAUAUACUGAUACAAUUAAAAGCGUGAAAUAGUUUUGAAUAAUUGUUUAAGCAUACGUUAAAAUCCCCUAAAACGGUUUUUAAAAGUUUGCUUGUCUGACUAAAAGACAACACCUGAAGAAGAUAACACUGAAUUGGCCAGUCUUAAUUGUGGAAAAGACUUAGUUCAGCACCAUUAGUUACUUAAAAAUCAAUUGUCAUUGACUUAAUUCUGACUCAGAGUGACCCCAUUUCAUUUGUGUCAGAGUAGAACUGUGUUCCACAGGAUUUUCAGUGGCUGAUUUGUUGAAAGUAGAUUGCCAGGCAUUUCUUCCGUGUCACCUCUGGGUGGACUCAAACGGCCAAUCUUUCGGUUAGCAGCUGAGUGUGUUAACCACUGGUACCACCCAGGGUGUUAAAUGCUAGGGGAGAUACAGAAUAAAUUUGCGUUCCAUGCCAUAAAAUUUUAUUGUAAGUGAAUUGAAACAACACAUAUAUGAAACAAUACUAAACAAUGCAGAAUAGUCUAUAAUUAAAUGUUAACUUCUAUGAUGGAAAUUCUGUAAUUUAGGAGUUCAGAAAAGGCGACCUAGGAUAUUAAGUGAGGAAGCUGAUGGAGUGAAAUCUUCCAUGUAUGGCUCCAAUUUUUCAAGCCUGAAUUCCUGGUGUAGAUUAAUCCCUGUGAGAAGAGCUGGAGAGGGAAUUUGUUUUAUUGUAGAGAGUUGAUUUGGUUUGUCUUUUAGACUGGGAUACGUAAUGUGAUGGGGCUUAUAUUUGAUGAAAUAAAUAAGGCAGACAGCGAUCAAGGGCUAAAGUUCAGUAAGAUUUUUAAACAAAAGAUCUGAAAGUAAGCAGUCAUUACCAUUGGGUUUGAGAGGUGAAAAUAUAUGUACUUUCAAUAAAAAUGAGCUGAAUGAACACGAAUCUUUAAAGUGGCAAUGAUCCUAAACUUCUUUGCUUUUCCGGCAUUUAUAUUUUCAAUUUAAAACUUGUUCAAACUAUAAUGAUCUGUGUUUAAGAAUGGUGGACAUGGUAUCUAUGUAAUUUGAUAGUCUUCAAUAUUAUGUGGCUACAUAAUGUUUGUACAGAUGAAUGUUUGUACAAGGAUGAAGAAGAAUCAAAGGCUUCUAAAACAAAAUGCUGUUUAUGAUUUUGAGAUAAUAGCUAAAACUGUUUGAAGUUUAAGUUGCAGAUUCAAUAGACCCUAUCGCCAAUGGAAUUUCUAUAUUUUCCCUCGGGUCUUUUGUUUAUGGAGCUGCAUAAUUUGGAAGUCAAUGGAGGUGAUAACUUAAUGCAAACCUGAACGUACUCCAAUUGGACACUGUUCUGUUUUUUACUGCCUAGGCUAUCACUUUCCUAAAGCAGUUGAACAGGCCCCAGAGGACAAAAGUAUCACACUGAAGGACGUGAGCUUUUCCAGCAGGGAAGCUACUGGAGUUCUGUUCUGUUGAUUCAGUGUGUCUCUUCAGAUCAGAUGAGUGAGAGGAGCCAUGCCUGUCAGCGGAUUUACUGCCACUGCACACACUCAUGCCAAAUCAAGCAGAAUCCAGAAUUCCCUCUUUAUGGGUGGUAUCUCCAACUCCAAGGGUAAAACUGAGGAUUCUGUUCAGUGAUCUGCAGCAACUCUCUUACUUUUAAAUAUCAUGGAUUCUCACAGAAGAGCUUGUGGGUUAAAGCAUGUGUGUGGCCUAAAGCAAUCAUGGAUUAUUAAUAGGAUCAAUGCUCCAUAACAGGGAACCAAAAUGUACCUAAACCCAUCAUUUAAACAGAAUCAUACCCAAAUGCCCAAUAUCGAGAAACAUAGGACUAAAAUUGGAAUUCAUUAACCUAAUGCUCUGCCACUUCCUGUAUCUUCAGUGAAAAACUGUGUUCAGGUGCUAUAUUCUCUGAAAUAUAAAACGCUCUAGUGAGUUUUAGAAAAAGCUUCAGCAAUGAAAAAGGUGACACAACCUUCCUUAAUGAAGGUUGUCUGUUUAACCCUGUUAACGAAAUAACUAAAUUGAAACUGUAUUUUCCAAGCUUUCAAAUUAUGUAGGAUUUACCGUAACUUUCAAGUUCAAUAAUAUUGACUCAGACUCUGUGGAAGAAAAUCAAUACAAUGAAGAACAUGAGGUCGAUUGUGGCUGCAUUUACUAAGUUUGUACCUUACGAGGUCAUUCUUCUCCCUUCAGACAGAAUCUUAUGUGUUUCAGAAAAAUAUAAUUCUAUACUUACUAAAAAUUUCUAUAGAUAAAGACACCAGAAUUUUUCUUUACUGGCAAAUGAUAACUGCUUAACAGCUUUUAUUCUCAGGAAAAUUCUUUAUUAUUAUGCAUUCAAUGGAGUACUAUGAGUUGUAUUAUUGCACAUUAUUCUUUACAUCGAAAAAAAGUUCAUUUUUAUCCUCCUUUUUUUUUUCCCUCAAAGUCUCAAUUUCCAUAACGGAUAUUUCUCCAUCAUCUCCUAUUAUAAGAUGAAAAAGCCAUAAUCAGAUGUGACAACUCAGUUAUUUUUCAUUUAUACUCUCUGUCUCAUAACUAUUUAUUAUUAUAUUCACUUCUUGUUUUUUGUUUUUGUUUUUAUUUUUCCCUAAUUGGAGUACUUUGUAUUUGACUCAUUGGGUUUUGUUUCCAGUUUAUUUUUUAGUUUACGAAGGUGAUUUUGAGCUCUGGAACGCUAACUGCCUUUCCUAACUUGGUGACUUAUACAAAUUUAAUAUUUUCUAUCCUGUCACCCAGGCCCUAUUCCAAAACAAGAGAAGACUCCUAUUAUUCAUUUAUUCAGAAGUUAACCAUCCACUACCAAAUAUAUAAAUGGCAGCUUAAUAAAGUUUUAAAAAGUAGAUCUAACCAUUAAAUUAAAAAAUUUUGCAGCCUAGCAUAGGAAAUAAGGUUGAAUUAUAUAAACAUAAUGUACAAUAGAAUGUGAUCAUGAGACAGAAGUAGGGAGAUGGCAUUUCUAUCUGUAUAGAUCACGGCAGGCUUCACAGAAGAGUGGAAUUAUAGCUAGGAGGGAUAAGAUUUGUCAGGCAACAGGGAUGUUGGGAGAACACUGUAGUAAGAAGGCAGACAAAUACACAAAGGUAUGAAAAAGAUGCCUGUUUAGAGGAAAGAGUAACAGUAAAUUAUUCAGUUUGCUUUAAACAAAAUACAUAGGAUAAAAUAAAAAAGGUUGGAAUGGGAAAUUUUAUUGAUAUUUUAUCAUCCAAAAUAUAAAUAUAUAAUAAGAUAUUUCCCCCAGUACUCAUCUACAUAAAGGAUAUACAUAGAAUUCAAUUUCUGGUUAAUUUCUUAAGACAACCUUUCAGGAAAAUUGUAUUUAUUUGGAAAAAGUAAGCUCUGAUCACUUGUAAUUGGACCAGGGUUUUGACACUACACCUUUUAGGGUAUAAGGAAAAUUAUGUAGAACUCUGCAGUGACACUUAGGAAAGCAAUAAAAUAUUUAGCAAUCCGCUUGUGUUUGGGCACCUACAGUAUUCAUAUAAUCUGCAUCUCUUGCUGAUAGUGGUCUAUUCAGUUUAGGUAUCUAGUGUAAGGAUCAGAAGACAAUUAACAAUUAAUAAGAAGCUCAAAUAGCUUACCUGAUAUCGUUUCUAUGGUUUUAACUCCUUGUUUCAGCUACUUUACAACAAUACUGUUAAAUCAAAACAAAGGUUACUAAACAAGUUAAGAUAAGAGCAAGAGGGCUUAAAAUAAUCCACAAUUAAUUUCUGCAUUUUUCUUUGUUAUGUAAUUCUUCUACAAAGUCACAGAAGUGAAAAAUUGCCUUAAAACAUUUCAGUUCCAUAAACAAUGUGAAUAUUUCAUGGGUUAAGUUGAUUUUAAUAAUCAAAAAAGGGAAUUUUUACCAAGAUAUAUUGAAAUCAUCUACGAAAUAGAGAAAUAUAAAUCUAAAACCUUAUUUAGCUAAAUAUUUUUGUCACACCUUUACAGGCUCAGAUGAACUUUAAAAUUAUUCUUUUUAUUCUGUAAGGGGCCUAGUCUUCUACAUAUUUAUAACUUCUGAUGAAGAAAAGAAUUAUCUCUAUGUUUAAUGUGUCCCAGAACUUUAUCUACUCCCCAAAUGAUUAAUCAUCUGGAUUUAAAUAUUACAUGUUCGUUAAUUAAUUGACUUGAUCUCAGUGAAUUUUAAAUUCCAAGUGGAAGAAAAAUUAAUAGUAACUCAAAAAUGAAAAUUCUAUCAUUUCAAGACAAUGUGUGGCAAACCACCAACUGUAAUCUCUUGCACUAAAGAUGUCUUCAGAUUGUUUCUAUUUAUCUUAUCUUUAGAGGUAAUGAAAGAAGAGCCUGUAUAUGAGGGCUUUCCUAUAGAAGACCAUUACAAUUGCGUUGAUCUCAUCUUGAAAAAUCUAAAGUCACUGUAACAAAAAGAAUUGGUCGAUGUUCAUCCAUUUCAGGAGGUAGCAUACGCUCAAAAACCAAUGGCAGUGAAAGAAGAAGUCUAAGCUGCACUGAAAUCAUUGAUGAAAAACAAGUUUCCAGGAAUCGAUGGAAUACCAUCAGAAAUGUUUCAACAAAGGUAUGCAAUGCUGGAAGCACUCAGUGGUCUACA